CGGCCAGCCCUAUAUGGCCACUGUCCCAUGGCCCUCCUCUACCCCAGGGCCUGCAACUAAAGGAAGGACACGGACGGCCCACUGGUGCUCAUCAACAGAACCGAGCUGGAGAAAGGCUGUGAAGACGACGACACAGUCAUGAUGGACUGGCUUCUGCAGAUAAUCCAUCAAAGGCUGGGGUCUGGGGUGGGCUACCGCCCCUCUGGUCCCUGCCUCGUCCCCACCGGCUUGUUUGAUGAGCAGGGUGGGGUGGUAGCCAGCCUCCGUCACCUCCACACUGACCAGAGGGUUUGGCCUGUCGUAUGGCGAACGCUACCGGGCUCUUCACGGUGCUGCACUGUCCCUGGGUGGUGGAGAAGGCUCUGGUGGCAGCGGCAGGGGAUAGGGGUUACCACCAUGCUGUGUACAGAGCGCCGCUGGAUCCAGACACAGCACUACCUACAGGCUUCAAAAAACGGGAGGCUGUGGAAGGAUUCCCGUUUGACAGAAGCCCAUCAACUGAGACCACACGGGCCUUAAAGCCACGGUGGACUCUGACGCCCACUUCACACAGCUCAAGUAAUUCGGGAGAGACCAGAAGUGGUGCUGCUUCCUUCUGCUACGGUUGUGAAGCGGACCAAGUCAGCAUCAGUACAGGAUCAGCAGCACAUAUAUGGAUCAUAACCAAGGUACAGUAUCUUAACUUAGGGGUUUGUUCAACUGAGCCACUUAUAACCCCCUCAAUAACCUGCAGAAAGUUGCACAAUACACAUUUCUACAGAAAAUCAACAGAUUUUAACCAACAGAAUUGGCCCAGCUGCAUUAUCUCUCGGCUCUAG
ensembl:lncRNA